AUUGAACGCUGGCGGCAUGCCUAACACAUGCAAGUCGAACGGUAACAGGGCUUCGGCUGCUGAUGAGUGGCGAACGGGUGAGUAAGACAGAGGAAUGCGCCCGAACGUGGGGGAUAACGGAGCGUAAGGUAUGCUAAUACACCAUACGAUCUACGGAGGACAGCAGGUGAACGCAAGGCCUCUUGCGACCUGGCGGGCCGAUGGCAGAUUAGGUAGUUGGUGGGAUAUAAGCGUACCAAGCCGACGAUCUGUAGCUGGUCUGAGAGGACGAGCAGCCACACUGGAACUGAGACACGGCCCAGACUCCUACGGGAGGCAGCAGUGGGGAAUAUUGGACAAUGGGCGAAAGCCUGAUCCAGCCAUGCCGCGUGCGGGAUGAAGGCCUUCGGGUUGUAAACUGCUUUUGUACGGAACGAAAAGACGCUGGUUAAUACCUGGCUGCCAUGACGGUACCGUAAGAAUAAGCACCGGCUAACUACGUG
rnacentral:rRNA from 1 species